UACGUAGGGUGCGAGCGUUGUCCGGAAUUAUUGGGCGUAAAGGGCUCGUAGGCGGUUUGUCGCGUCUGCUGUGAAAACUCGGGGCUUAACUCCGGGCCUGCACUCGAUACUGCUGUGACUUGAGUCCGGUAGGGGAGUGGGGAAUUCCUGGUGUAGCGGUGGAAUGCGCAGAUAUCAGGAGGAACACCGGUGGCGAAGGCGCCACUCUGGGCCGGUACUGACGCUGAGGAGCGAAAGCGUGGGGAGCGAACAGG
rnacentral:rRNA from 1 species